UGUUCAUCCACUAACCUUUCCUUCCUCCUAAGUUUCCUCUUUCCACCGUCUUCAACCUACUUUUCCAUCAUGACAACCGUCAAGCCACCGCUCAAACCCACCAUCAUCACCUGGCGAUGCCUUCAAUCUCCACCAAAUUCACCAUCCAAAUCUUCACCCCAACCAGAGAACACUCAAACCAAGCAAAAAAAAACCUUCGCGCAGGC
rnacentral:lncRNA from 1 species